GACGAACGCUGGCGGCGUGCUUAACACAUGCAAGUCGAACGGAAAGGCCCUGCUUUUGUGGGGUGCUCGAGUGGCGAACGGGUGAGUAACACGUGAGUAACCUGCCCUUGACUUUGGGAUAACUUCAGGAAACUGGGGCUAAUACCGGAUAGGAGCUCCUGCUGCAUGGUGGGGGUUGGAAAGUUUCGGCGGUUGGGGCUGGACUCGCGGCUUAUCAGCUUGUUGGUGGGGUAGUGGCUUACCAAGGCUUUGACGGGUAGCCGGCCUGAGAGGGUGACCGGCCACAUUGGGACUGAGAUACGGCCCAGACUCCUACGGGAGGCAGCAGUGGGGAAUAUUGCGCAAUGGGCGGAAGCCUGAUGCAGCAACGCCGCGUGCGGGAUGACGGCCUUCGGGUUGUAAACCGCUUUCGCCUGUGACGAAGCGUGAGUGACGGUAAUGGGUAAAGAAGCACCGGCUAACUACGUG
rnacentral:rRNA from 1 species